AAUUACUCCUUCCUUUAGAAGUGCCUCAAAUAAGCUUGUUCCUUAAAUCCAUAAAAUACUUAAAAAAGGAGAACCAGUGUUUCGCGAUAGGUAAUUUUUUCAAGAGCGUCGAUUUGCGAAAAUUUAUGUUCGCAAAAUCUUAUAUUACUGCUUAUUCGCGAAAGUUUAUGUUCCUACCAGUGUUUCGCGAUAGGUAAUUUUUUCAAGAGCGUCGAUUUGUGAAAAUUUAUGUUCGCAAAAUCUUUUAUUACUGCUUAUUCGCGAAAGUUUAUGUUCCU